CAAUGUAAUUAAAUCUCAAUUUGGUCUAAUUCGACCAAAUUGAAAGAUUCAAUGAAAGAGUUCGAUUAUUUUCGAACUAAAAAUCAACAAUCUGAUUGAUUUCUUUUACAUUCAUGGGACAACUAAGGUGGAAAUAAAAAUUCCUUCCUUGCCUCCCUAACAGUAGCAGAGCUCUCUCUUAUCUCUUUCUCUUUUGAUAGUUUUUUUUUUUUGCAAAGAGAAAAGCAUCGCUCUUUCUCUUUCUCUCUCUCGAUAAUACUGCAUUUUAUAAAGAGAAAAGCACCGCUCUUUCUCUUUUAAUAACAUAUUUUUUUUAUAAAGAGAAGAGCACCGCUCUCUCUCUUUAUGU
rnacentral:lncRNA from 1 species